rnacentral:rRNA from 1 species
CCUACUGGUUGAUCCUGCCAGUAAUCAUAUGCUUGUUUCAAAGAUUAAGCCAUGCAUGUCUAAGUACAAACUGUGUCUCACACGGUGAUACCGCGGACGGCUCAUUAAAUCAGUCUUGGUCCAAAUGGGCCUGUGAUAACUCUACCUGGAUAACUGUGGUAAUUCCAGAGCUAAUACAUGCAACUCAUAUCCUGAUGGCGGUGCUUGCUCUCUUGUAGGGCUUGUUCGUUCUGACGGAUGCUUUUAUUAGACCAAACCGCUGAGGGCGUGCGUCGCCUCGUGUGACCUCCUCGCUCGACUCGUGCAAUGGUGACUCUGGAUAACCUUUUUGACAAGCGCACGUACCACUCAUUGAGUUGGACGGCGCUACCACUUUCGAGUGUCUGCCUUAUCAGCUGUCAACCGUUCGUUAUGUGCGACCGAUGGCUUUGACGGGUAACGGAGAAUCAGGGUUCGAUUCCGGAGAGGCAGCCUGAGAAACGGCUACCACGUCUAAGGACGGCAGCAGGCACGCAAAUUACCCAAUCCCAGCAUCUGGGGGAGGUAGUGACGAAAUCUAACGAUGCGGGCGCCCUUUCUGGGGCCCCGCAAUCGGAAUGAGUACUUUCUAAACAACCUGUUGAGAACCUACUGAAGGGCAAGUCUGGUGCCAGCAGCCGCGGUAAUUCCAGCUUCAGUAGCAUCUAUUAAAGUUGCUGCGGUUAAAAGGCUCGCAGUUGAAUGUCAGUAUCGAGCGCAGGUCAGGUGGACGUUGGGGCGUGGGAAUAAAAGGUGUAUGUACGGACGCUGUUCUGUCGCUUUCGGGCGCAGUCGUGUCGUUGUCGGCUGCAUCUCUCACGAGCUCCCGUCCGUAACAAGCCUCCUCGCUUGUGUACAUAAUGGAAUUGGUCAAACGGAGUGUGCGUGUUAGUGGCGUUAGUGCGUGGAUUGUGUCGGUUCGCCGUCGCGGUUGUCCGGGCUGAUGUUUACGAAGCGUACGUUAAGCUCUUCGGUUUUAUAUUCACCUUGAGUAAAUCAGAGUGCUCAAAGCAGUCGUAGGGGCGUAUGCCCUGUUUAAAGUCUUGACGGACUGACUUGGUUAUGCAUGGUAUGUUGGAAGACGACGUCGUGUGCUGGCUCAGAGAUAAAUCAGUGGUGUAAGCCAGCCGCGACGUACUGAUUAACAGAACUUGUCGAGGGCAUUGGUAUUGCGAGGCGAGAGGUGAAAUUCUAUGACCCUCGCAAGACCUCCUGAAGCGAAAGCGUCAUGCCAAGGAUGUUUUCAUUAAUCAUGAACGAAAGUUAGAGGAUCGAAGGCGAUCAGAUACCGCCCUAGUUCUAACCCUAAACGAUGCCAACCAUCAAUCCGCGCGUAGUACCCUUCUUAACGGACUCGGCGGGCAGCUCCCCACUCACGGGAAACCAGAGUCUCUGGGUUCCGGGGGGAGUCUGGUUGCAAAGCUGAAACUUAAAGGAAUUGACGGAAAGGCACCACCAGGCGUGGAGCUGCGGCUUAAUUUGACUCAACACGGGCCACCUCACCAGGCCAGCACUCUUGUACGAUUGACAGAUUGAGAGCUCUUUCUCGAUUCAGUGGAUGGUGGUGCAUGGCCGUUCUUAGUUGGUGGAGUGAUCUGUCUGGUUAAUUCCGAUAACGAACGAGACUCUCCCCUGCUAACUAGUCGGUUGGAUCUUGCUCGGUGAGCUGUGUGCCGAGAUCACCUGGAUGUGCUGGAGUUUGUUGGUGGGCCGGCGGUUUUACCUCGUGUCUCAUUCGGCUCUCUGGUCUCUAGGCCUCGGACCACACACUCCAAGUCCGCCGCUUAUGCUAUGACUCUUCUUAGAGGGAUUCACGGUACUGAAGCCGUCAGAGACUGAGAGCAAUAACAGGUCUGUGAUGCCCUUAGAUGCUCUGGGCCGCACGCGCGCUACAAUGCCGGGCACAGCAGGUAGUUUUCCUGCUCCGACAGGACGGGUAACCCUGUGAAAGCCCUUGCUUUAUUAUGUCUGACAUGAAUGGCGUGCUUGGGCCUGGGGCUUGCAAUUCUUUCCCACAAACGAGGAAUGCCUAGUAGCGGCGGGUCACUGAGCCCGCCGUGAUUCAGUCCCUGCCCUUUGUACACACCGCCCGUCGCUACUACCGAUUGGGUGUACCAGUGAGAGCCUUGGACUGGCGUCCGUUGCCUUCGGGCAAACGGUACCGACGGAAAGAGGUCCGAACUGGUGCACUUAGAGGAAGUAAAAGUCGUAACAAGGUUUCCGUAGGUGAACCUGCGGAAGGAUCAUUA